AUGGAGAGCGUGGAGGGGAACGGCACCGGCCGCGGGAACCUGCAGCUUGUGGUGUCGGAACUGUGCCGAGUCCAGGAGCUGGUCCGGCAGCUGGAGCUGCACCUACACGCACCGGACGCCUCCAUCGACCUGUGCCGCGCCCUCACCGCCGAGAUCUUCGCGCUCACCGACCGGUCCAUCGGCUUCGUCGCCGCCGCACAUUUCCCCGACGCCCCGACCACGCCCUCCAGCACCUCCAGCUCCCUCAGCGGCGUCUCCGACCAGCCCUUCAGGACCAACACCAAGAAGAGGAAGGCGACGGCGAGGUGGACGAGCCAGGUGAGGGUGAGUGCGGCCGGCGGCGCGGAGGGGCCUGGCGACGACGGCCACAGCUGGAGGAAGUACGGGCAGAAGGACAUCCUCGGCGCCAAGCACCCGAGGGCCUACUACCGCUGCACCCACCGCAACUCGCAGGCCUGCCCCGCCACCAAGCAGGUGCAGCGCGCCGACCAGGACCCCGCGCUCUUCGACGUCGUCUACCACGGCCAGCACACCUGCAGGCCAACGGGCGGUAGGAGGCCGCCGACGAACCAACACAACCCGCACGCGGAGAGCCUGCUGCAGAGCCUCAGAGCCGGCCUGACCGUGGACGCGGAGCACGGCGCCCUGAACAACACCUCAGUCUCACCGCCGUCGAUGGCCUCGCCUGUGGCGUCUGGCUCCAACGGUGGUCUGGCCAUGUCGCCGUACCCGGUGCCAGCCGGCGCGUACGCGGAGUGGCCGCUGGACGGCGACCUCCAGGAGGUGGUGUCGGCGCUCACAGCCGUGUCAGCCCCGAGCAUGGACUGCCUUUUCGAGUUCGACCCGACCUUCGGCGUUGGUGUGCCGAACUUCUUCAUGUGA
rnacentral:rRNA from 1 species